UUACCGUCGUCUGCCUCCAUACAAACCCUCAUUGCGACUCUUGCAAUUCGAUGUCGACCGAUUCGCCUAAGCUCACACAACGGUGGUUUGUCGGAAUUAGAAACCAAAACAUUUAUGAGAGUACCAUCGAGAGCACCGAGACAACCCUGCACAUAAUAGAUUCAAGGCAUGUAUUGCCUCAGGUUUGACGAUAAACAAUGUGUGCGUUUUCAAGUUAGCUCGAAGUACCUCAUGGACGUAG